CAUAGCGACUAUCGUGGCAUAUCAAUAAGCGGAGGAAAAGAAACUAACUAAGGAUUCCCUAGUAACGGCGAGUGAAGCGGGAAGAGCUCAAAUUUGAAAUCUUAAAGGUUUUACCUUGACGAAUUGUAGUUUAAAGAAGUGUUUUCUGUUGAAGUUUCGGUAAAAGUUCUUUGGAAUAGGACAUCAUAGAGGGUGAGAAUCCCGUAUUUGACCAUUAUUUUCAGCUGUGUGAUACACUUUCAAAGAGUCGGAUUGUUUGGGAAUGCAGUCCAAAAUGGGUGGUAAAUUUCAUCUAAAGCUAAAUAUUGGCGAGAGACCGAUAGCGAACAAGUACCGUGAGGGAAAGAUGAAAAGAACUUUGAAAAGAGAGCUAAACAGUACGUGAAAUUGUCAAAAGGGAAGCGUUUGACACCAGUGUUGUUUUCUCGAAAAUCAAUUAAAAAGGCCGGAUUUUGUGUUGUAUUGACCUUAAAAGCUUUCUUCACUCUUUUCUUGUCUUUUUUAAUGCACUUUUCGUUUAACAAGUCAACAUCAGUUUCUUUUGUUGUAAAAGGGUCAUUGGAAGGUGGCUUUCUUUUCGGAGAAAGUGUUUAUAGCCUUUGAUCUCUGCAACCGGAGAGACUGAGGUCUGCAGCGUAGACUCUUCGGGGUUAAAUACAUUUGUGCUAAGCUAUAGCUUUUUAUAGACAACUUGUUGACUAUAUUUAGUCUUGUGGCUUACUCGCUUAUGCUAUUUUACCUACGCUUAGGAUGUUGAUAUGCAUGACUGAUAU
rnacentral:rRNA from 1 species